rnacentral:tRNA from 2 species
GCGGGAGUAGCUCAGUUGGUAGAGCGUUGGCUUCCCAAGCCGAAGGUCGCGGGUUCGAGCCCCGUUUCCCGCU